ensembl:lncRNA PURPL p53 upregulated regulator of p53 levels
GAGCUCUUGUGGUGACCUGGGAAUCAAUGUGUGAGGUGGUGCUAUGUAGCAGGAACCCCUCUUGCUUUGCAAAUAGUUUUUUGUUUGUUUUCCUUUUUGCCCAAUAGAGCCCUGCUCUACUGACCCUUCAAUGUGCCCGUGUGCCUAAAUAUUCCUGGUCGUGUGAAAAGAACCCAGGUAUUAGCUGAACUAAGGAGCACAAUUCUGCAACAUUUUGGCACCCAAACACGGGGCUUGAGAAAUGAAUGCAAUUGGAGAAACUGGUUGUUUUACCAGGCGUUGAUUGGAAAUGUGUGCUUCCCUUUAAGCAGUCAAGCUCAACUUGCAGAACUGAUGGGAACCCCUUGGGAAAACUGGCCUCAAAUGUUUGUCUACACAGUCCACAUACAGGGUUCUUAACCUGCGACUGACCCUGCUUGUGCCUGUGAACCAACCAACAAUCUCUGGCUGCAGCUCAGAAAGGACAAAAGAGAAUGGAUGAGGGAAACUUCCCAGGGCUUGUCUGGGUAUGCCCACAGUGGACUGGAGCCCAAAAUGCACACUGGAGGAAGUGGAUGGAGCCACGUGGAUGUCAUGCCUUAUGCAGGGGAGGAGCCUGCUCUCUUCAGCUCCUGUGGUAAUGUGGGAAUCGAUCUGUGAGAUGGAGUCUUGUUCUGUGGUCCAGGCUAGAGGGCAGUGGCAUGAUCUCGGCUCACUACAAGCUCUGCCUCCCGGGUUCACGCCAUUCUCCUGCCUCAGCCUCCUGAGUAGCUGGGACUACAGGCGCCCGCCACCACGCCUGGCUAAUUUUUUGUAUAUUUACUAGAGAUGGCUAGUGUUAGCCAAGAUGGUCUCGAUCUCCUGACCUCGUGAUCUGCCCACCUCAGCCUGCCAAAGUGCUGGGAUUACUGGCGUGAGCCACCGUGCCUGGCCAGCAUCCUCUAAUUAUUAUUCAUAGUUUGUGAAUUUAGGCCUACGUGAAUAAUAAUAUAAUAUUUACUAUGAUGUUACUAUCUACCAACCUUAUUUUUCUUUUCUAUAAAAUAGGAGCCAAAAUAAUAUUUAUGUCAUACCUUAUGAAGUUAAAAUAAAAUAUAACGAAUGAGGGGCUUAACAA